UGAGAUGCUCUUUUCGGUCUGCGUCAAGUUCAUAAAGCGGUUCCUCUCUGUCCUUGGCUUCAUCAUAAACAUUGACACAUUGAUGUUGAUGGUUCCUGUGCUGCUUGAAGGACAGCGAUAUGUCCUGACUUAUAGGUUCAGCCAGGACCACUUGGAGCUUCUCUUCAACUCCAUCAGAGCAUCCGGGGGCUGGAAUAACAAUCCUAAUGCCAGCCAGUGCAAGUACAUUUUCAGGAAGCUGAUGGCCCGGUGUGGGGUUGUCAAAUCAUGCAGAGGCAAUGUGACUGCACAGGAUGACACAGAGUCCCUACCAGCUGUCAUUGACACCUCUACUAGCCUGUCAGCUGUAGAUAUGUCCUCUGCAGCAGGAGGAGAAGAUCUUCCAUCCCCGUUUGCUGACAUU